CAAAAGCUUAUCUUCAAAUUGCAAAAUAGGAAAAUCAUUCACAGAGACAAAGAGAAAGUGUUAUGGGUUUGCUAAAUUCUUGACGACAAUGGUGAAACUGUGAGAGUAGGAGGUGAAAACCUUAAUUAUCUCUAGGGGUCUGUAACGAUUCCUGAUUACUAUUCACAGCCGAAUCAAGCACCGUUCCUCUACAGCGGAUUUGGGAUCACUAGUCAC
rnacentral:misc_RNA from 1 species